rnacentral:tRNA from 1 species
GCCUGUGUGGCUCAGUCGGUUGGGCGUCUGACUUCGGCUCAGGUCAUGAUCUCACAGUCCGUGGGUUCGGGCCCCGCGUCGGGCU